CAGUCGGCGCUCGCCGCUCGUCGCCGUCGGUUCGAAUGUCGUGGCGCGCGAUCGACGUCCCGCGCGAUUCCGUCCUCGGUCUCGUUCACGUUUACAUAUCACGGGAGUGUAUUGUCCUGCACCUCCUCCGUCUUUCCUUUCCGCGACGUAUCCGUUGAAGUGCGCUUUAAGUGUGCUUAAGUGUGGCCGCAAGCCGUGAUGUGACACAUAUCAGCGACGUGGAUCUGCGUGGGACACGCAUCGGGCACGCCGCCGCGUUUGGAUCAGAACACUGGAUAUCUCGCAGUGAUGGUACAGCGAUGAGCCUGCAGGCCCAGGCUCCAACCCAGCGCCCUGCGAGGUACUCCCCUCAGGAGACCGUCAAGGUAAGUUUUUACCACGCAUCUUUUAUCAGUGGCGCGCAAGAUAAAAGGCGAAGUGAAUGUUGCCUAUCGUAUUUUACCACGCAUUUAAAUAUUUAAUAAAGGAUCAGAAUAUUUUUCACGGCAUUUGAAAUUUUAUUAUAUAAAUUAUCCAAAUGAUGUAUUUCACUAUUCUUAUAUAUUAAUAAAGAAUUCUACUGUAUUUAAAACGUGUUUGAAAAAUUGUUUUGAAGUAAAAUGGAUGAAAAAUUUGUUGAAAAUUUGCAUUAAAUUGCAUUACUGAAAAAUCUUUCGUCACCUUAAAUUCGGUAUUGUAAAGGAGAAACAUUUAUUUUUUCUUUUUUCGUCGGGCGAUAAUUAACAGCGGAAUUCGCUCUCACGGUGAUAACGUACUCGCGUGGACCGCAUUACACCCUGUUUGCUACCCAUGUCGGGAUUAACCCCUCACGGCUGACUGUGCGUAGCUUGUAUCACUUGGCACCUGCUCUGUGCGUAGAGAGAAAUCGAGAGAGAAAGGAAACAGAAAUAGAAGAAAUAACAUUUCACGAUUUAGGAUAAUAAUCACGUAAAAAUGCAUAAGCGCAGAAUAAAAAAGAGAAUUAGUUAACGAUAUAUUAGACAUAAUAAUUAUCAG